CACCGGGAUUGCCUCAGUAACGGCGAGUGAAGCGGCAAGAGCUCAAAUUUGAAAGCUGGCCCCUCCGGGGUCCGCAUUGUAAUUUGCAGAGGAUGCUUCGGGCUCAGCCCCCGUCUAAGUGCCCUGGAACGGGCCGUCGGAGAGGGUGAGAAUCCCGUCUGGGACGGGGUGCCUGGGUCCAUGUGAAGCUCCUUCGACGAGUCGAGUUGUUUGGGAAUGCAGCUCUAAAUGGGUGGUAAAUUUCAUCUAAAGCUAAAUACUGGCCGGAGACCGAUAGCGCACAAGUAGAGUGAUCGAAAGAUGAAAAGCACUUUGAAAAGAGAGUUAAACAGCACGUGAAAUUGUUGAAAGGGAAGCGCUUGCGAUCAGACUCGCCUGCGGGGUUCAGCCGGCAUUCGUGCCGGUGUACUUCCCCGUGGGCGGGCCAGCGUCGGUUCGGGUGGCCGGUCAAAGGCCCCGGGAAUGUGUCGCCCUCCGGGGCGUCUUAUAGCCCGGGGUGCCAUGCGGCCUACCUGGACCGAGGAACGCGCUUCGGCUCGGACGCUGGCGUAAUGGUCGUAAGCGACCCGUCUUGAAACACGGACCAAGGAGUCUAACAUCUACGCGAGUGUUUGGGUGGCAAACCCAUACGCGCAGUGAAAGCGAACGGAGGUGGGAACCCUUCGGGGCGCACCAUCGACCGAUCCUGAUGUCUUCGGAUGGAUUUGAGUAAGAGCGUAGCUGUGGGGACCCGAAAGAUGGUGAACUAUGCCUGAAUAGGGCGAAGCCAGAGGAAACUCUGGUGGAGGCUCGCAGCGGUUCUGACGUGCAAAUCGAUCGUCAAAUUUGGGUAUAGGGGCGAAAGACUAAUCG
rnacentral:rRNA from 2 species